UUUCUCUGGGGCAGAUUUUGGAACAAUAAGUGUGAAUGCGAUGCUCUAACCUGUUAUGUUCCGUAUCACAGGCCCAUUGUCAGGGGGGUCGUUUUAAACUACUUAGUGCCCCCCAUUCCACUGAUCCUAACAGAUAAGAUGGAGUUCUCCCCGAAUAAAUCAAAACCGGGAAUGUCACUGGGAUGACAGCAGUCGAUAGUUUUUUUUUCUCCCACAGUCCAUUCUUCUGCACCGCCCGUAACUUGCCAAGUACAGCUUUUGUACAGUCCAUUUACUUAACAAGAACGACUUUUUCCAUACGCCAUUCUGCAAACCGGUUUUAAACACCCGUGAUCUGUGAAUAAACAAAGUCAGUAAACAAAAAAAAAAAAAAAUCUAGCUAACCCAGAUUCCAAGAAGGUAAACUUUCAACAGCAGCACGUCACACUUCAGCAAAUUUACACAGAUAUUAUAUUUCGUUCCCUUCUUUUUAGCCAUUACGCUUUACUGCAUUUUAUAACGCCGAUCGAUAUCUUGGUAAAAUAACCAUUUUUAUAAGCUAGCGGGGCAGUGAAAUCUUUGCUUUGUGCUAAAGUCAACAGUGCCGAGUUUGAGCUCAAAUAAAUACUGCGAUGCCCUGAGCCGGUUGCAGUAUAGUCUGUGAGGCUCUAAGCGCGGGACUGCCAUCGCUUUCGAAUCUACAGAACACAGAGGCACCAGAACAAAUGGCCUUUUGAUCGUCAACUCAUCAUUUCAAUCGUGAAGUUUCUAUCUGCUGCUUGGCAAACCGACAUAGGUACAAGCAGGUGCCUCCCCGGUGAUGAAUGUACAACCGAGAGGAGAAACAGAACGGCUUUUGAGUCACUGUGUUCAUUAGUACCUGGUUAGGACUGCGUCCAACCUGAUGGCAAAUAUGAAAUAUCAAAGCGCUUGUCAGCACUCCUGAAUGGGACAAAGAAAGGCUGCAUUAAUGAUUAACUGUGCUAAAAGCCCUGUCUUUUGUAUUCCCAUGGUGCCUGGGCUAUCUGGCUGCCAUGUGACAUGCUCGGGCCCUUUUCUAGCAGAUUGAGGAAAGCUAGUGAGCAAACACAGGUGCUUCGGAGUCAGCACGGCUGUCAGGGGUAACCACAAACAACACCAGCUAUGCCUGGUUAAAUGACCUCCUCUGUUUGCUUCCAUUGCUGCUUCCUGGGGAGCGUACAUUUCAAGCCCAGCGUCUCCUGCCCCUAUUCUCAGCUAUUCACAUGCAGUGCUGAAAAAGCAGGCAGAGCCACUUCUUUCAUGCAACAGCAUUCAGGGGCCAAACCAAGGGACAGAGUACACUAAUUAAAAGUGUUCAAGUCUUUAGCUGCCAAAACAAAACACAUUUAUUUUUUUCUCAAGUGGGGCUAUUUUCUUGACCCUGUGUCAAACACAAAGCAGCCAUUCAUUUUGAAAUGAGCAUUUGGAAAUGUGUGAGUGUGGAAGAGAGCAAAAUGCAAGCACUUUCACUAUUAAUAGAUAGCAAAUAAGAAAAGUUUCAAAGAAGCUUGUUUGCAGCUUUGAAACUCCAGACACGCCUCGGCCUAAAUGCCAGUUUCCUGGGUAUGAAUGUUACACAGUAGCAAGGCUGGUACAAGGGUUCUGUGCUGUGGAAAACACAAAGUCCCCCCAGCAGAUUAUUGAACUUUCUACAGGGCACAAGUCAGACAGGCUGUCUUUUAUUGUUUAGAUAUUGAUAUUUGCAUAUUACAGCUCUGUACAAUUACGCACGGCCAGUAAACCUGUACUACCAAGAACACGCUAAAGGUGUUUUAAGUAAACAAGUAAAACACACAAGAGAGGAAAUCAGGUUAGAAAGAGAAAUGUUAAGAGCAGUAUCAUCACAGCCUACUGCAGUGUCUAAACUAUGUCUUAAUACUAUGUCCCUGGAAUUACAUUUCAUUAUUGUAUAUUGUAUAUGGUAAUAGCAGGUGAAUAAAUGCCCACAUGGGAAAGGCACAGUCAGAUUCACAUAGAGUUGAAGAGUGGUGGUAUUUAGACCAGCCACUGUUGAGAUCAUUAAAAUAGACCUCUUGCUUAAUUAAUGGAAUACGCUUAUUCAAGAGGUAUUGCUUUGCCAGUCUACUCCAUUUACACAGUUUCGUCAUUAAAAAUGAGUUCAGCUUUUGAUAAUGAUUGCUACCUAGUCUAAUAGGGAUUGUUUACAACAAUGUGGUAUGACUAUGAAUAUGAUAAGACUAUAAUGUUAUAAGAGGAUCAUUCUCAACAGCAAACUCAAACCUAGAGCAAUGGCCAGGUCUUAUUUGAGCACACAACGCUGUUAAACUGCAGAUUUAUUGCAUAGUUCUUGUCAGUGCAAAAAGUCUCAUCCAUUGUCUGUUAAAACUCCUAACAGAUUUCAGGCAAUGACGAGAAGAAUAAAAAGAGUCAUUGAAAACUGUGAUAAUCUCAAAGUCUCUUUGAAGUUCUGCAUACAAUGCAGCCUUUUUACAGAGCAGGAGCACUUAAAAAGGCUGUAGACUGAAUGAACUUGGGUCUUUUGUAAGAUCUGUUCCAAGAACGUAGUCCUCUGAACUAAUGAAAACAAACAUAUAUUAAUAAUACGCAAUCGGUUAGCUGCGACGUUUGGUGCUGCUUGCAAGUGUAGAGUCAAUAUGUAUUUCAAUUGCAUUCAUUUACAAUAGAAUCAGUCAAUUUGCUAAAAUAUCAACCUAAGGCUAUGGCUUUGCAGCACCUGUCUUUUAUUUGUACUUUUAAGCUAUUUUGAUUUACUAUCCUGUACUAAAGAAAUAAAGAUGUUUAAAAUAA